CUUUCUUGAUUCGGUGGGUGGUGGUGCAUGGCCGUUCUUAGUUGGUGGAGCGAUUUGUCUGGUUAAUUCCGAUAACGAACGAGACUCUAGCCUGCUAACUAGGCGAUUUCCGGUACCCACAAUAGUGUUACCGGCGAUACAAUUUCUUCUUAGAGGGACAGGCGGCUCCUAG
rnacentral:rRNA from 1 species